UGGGGUGGAGCUCAGUGGUUGGGCACGUGCUUAGCACGCAUAAGGUUCUGGGUUUGAUCCCCAGCAUCACGU
rnacentral:tRNA from 1 species